rnacentral:rRNA from 1 species
UGGGGAAUAUUGCACAAUGGGGGAAACCCUGAUGCAGCGACGCCGCGUGAGCGAAGAAGGCUUUCGAGUCGUAAAGCUCUGUCCUAUGAGAAGAUAAUGACGGUAUCAUAGGAGGAAGCCCUGGCUAAAUACGUGCCAGCAGCCGCGGUAAUACGUAUGGGGCGAGCGUUGUCCGGAAUUAUUGGGCGUAAAGGGUACGUAGGUGGUUUUUUAAGUCUGGUGUCAAAGCGUGGAGCUUAACUCCAUUAAGCACUUGAAACUGAAAGACUUGAGUGAAGGAGAGGAAAGUGGAAUUCCUAGUGUAGCGGUGAAAUGCGUAGAUAUUAGGAGGAAUACCGGUGGCGAAGGCGACUUUUUGGCCUGCAACUGACACUGAGGCGCGAAAGCGUGGGGAGCAAACAGG